UACGGGGGGGGCAAGCGUUGUUCGGAAUUACUGGGCGUAAAGGGCUCGUAGGCGGCCAACUAAGUCAUACGUGAAAUCCCUCGGCUUAACCGGGGAACUGCGUCUGAUACUGGAUGGCUUGAGAUUGGGAGAGGGAUGCGGAAUUCCAGGUGUAGCGGUGAAAUGCGCAGAUAUCAGGAGGAACACCGGUGGCGAAGGCGGAUCUCUGGGCCAUUACUGACGCUGAGGAGCGAAAGCGUGGGGAGCGAACAGG
rnacentral:rRNA from 1 species